UACCGUAUAACAAUCGAAACCGCAUGGUUUUGAUUUGAAAGGCGCUUUCGGGUGUCGCUGAUGGAUGGACCCGCGGUGCAUUAGCUAGUUGGUGAGGUAACGGCUCACCAAGGCCACGAUGCAUAGCCGACCUGAGAGGGUGAUCGGCCACAUUGGGACUGAGACACGGCCCAAACUCCUACGGGAGGCAGCAGUAGGGAAUCUUCGGCAAUGGACGAAAGUCUGACCGAGCAACGCCGCGUGAGUGAAGAAGGUUUUCGGAUCGUAAAACUCUGUUGUUAGAGAAGAACAAGGAUGAGAGUAACUGUUCAUCCCUUGACGGUAUCUAACCAGAAAGCCACGGCUAACUACGUGCCAGCAGCCGCGGUAAUACGUAGGUGGCAAGCGUUGUCCGGAUUUAUUGGGCGUAAAGCGAGCGCAGGCGGUUUCUUAAGUCUGAUGUGAAAGCCCCCGGCUCAACCGGGGAGGGUCAUUGGAAACUGGGAGACUUGAGUGCAGAAGAGGAGAGUGGAAUUCCAUGUGUAGCGGUGAAAUGCGUAGAUAUAUGGAGGAACACCAGUGGCGAAGGCGGCUCUCUGGUCUGUAACUGACGCUGAGGCUCGAAAGCGUGGGGAGCAAACAGGAUUAGAUACCCUGGUAGUCCACGCCGUAAACGAUGAGUGCUAAGUGUUGGAGGGUUUCCGCCCUUCAGUGCUGCAGCUAACGCAUUAAGCACUCCGCCUGGGGAGUACGACCGCAAGGUUGAAACUCAAAGGAAUUGACGGGGGCCCGCACAAGCGGUGGAGCAUGUGGUUUAAUUCGAAGCAACGCGAAGAACCUUACCAGGUCUUGACAUCCUUUGACCACUCUAGAGAUAGAGCUUCCCCUUCGGGGGCAAAGUGACAGGUGGUGCAUGGUUGUCGUCAGCUCGUGUCCUGAAAUGUUGGGUUAAGUCCCGCAACGAGCGCAACCCUUAUUGUUAGUUGCCAUCAUUCAUUUUGGCACUCUAGCAAGACUGCCGGUGACAACCCGGAGAAAGGUGGGGAUGACUUCAAUCAUCAUCCCCUUAUAACUGGGCUACCACCUGCUACAUGGGAAAUACACCAAUUUGCGAAUCCCGA
rnacentral:rRNA from 1 species